UACGUAGGGGGCAAGCGUUGUCCGGAAUCAUUGGGCGUAAAGAGCGCGUAGGCGGUCCGGUAAGUCCGCUCUGAAAGUCCGGGGCUCAACCCCGGGAGGCGGGUGGAUACUGUCGGGCUAGAGUCCGGAAGAGGCGAGUGGAAUUCCUGGUGUAGCGGUGAAAUGCGCAGAUAUCGGGAGGAACACCAAUGGCGAAGGCAGCUCGCUGGGACGGUACUGACGCUGAGGCGCGAAAGCGUGGGGAGCAAACAGG
rnacentral:rRNA from 1 species